rnacentral:rRNA from 1 species
GAGUUUGAUUCUGGCUCAGGAUGAACGCUAGCGAUAGGCUUAACACAUGCAAGUCGAGGGGCAGCAUGAACUUAGCUUGCUAAGUUUGAUGGCGACCGGCGCACGGGUGCGUAACGCGUAUGCAACUUGCCUUACAGAGGGGGAUAACCCGUUGAAAGACGGACUAAUACCGCAUAUACUUAUUCGGUUGCAUGACCGGGCAAGGAAAUAUUUAUAGCUGUAAGAUAGGCAUGCGUCCCAUUAGCUGGUUGGUGAGGUAACGGCUCACCAAGGCAACGAUGGGUAGGGGAACUGAGAGGUUUAUCCCCCACACUGGUACUGAGACACGGACCAGACUCCUACGGGAGGCAGCAGUGAGGAAUAUUGGUCAAUGGGCGAGAGCCUGAACCAGCCAAGUCGCGUGAAGGAAGACUGUCCUAAGGAUUGUAAACUUCUUUUAUACGGGAAUAACGGGCGAUACGCGUAUUGCUA